GCGGAGGAAAAGAAACCAACAGGGAUUGCCUUAGUAGCGGCGAGUGAAGCGGCAAAAGCUCAAAUUUGAAAUCUGGCGCCUUCGGUGUCCGAGUUGUAAUUUGAAGAUUGUAACCUUGGGGUUGGCUCUUGUCUAUGUUUCUUGGAACAGGACGUCACAGAGGGUGAGAAUCCCGUGCGAUGAGAUGCCCAAUUCUAUGUAAGGUGCUUUCGAAGAGUCGAGUUGUUUGGGAAUGCAGCUCUAAGUGGGUGGUAAAUUCCAUCUAAAGCUAAAUAUUGGCGAGAGACCGAUAGCGAACAAGUACAGUGAUGGAAAGAUGAAAAGAACUUUGAAAAGAGAGUGAAAAAGUACGUGAAAUUGUUGAAAGGGAAGGGUUUGAGAUCAGACUCGAUAUUUUGUGAGCCUUGCCUUCGUGGCGGGGUGACCCGCAGCUUAUCGGGCCAGCAUCGGUUUGGGCGGUAGGAUAAUGGCGUAGGAAUGUGACUUUACUUCGGUGAAGUGUUAUAGCCUGCGUUGAUGCUGCCUGCCUAGACCGAGGACUGCGAUUUUAUCAAGGAUGCUGGCAUAAUGAUCCCAAACCGCCCGUCUUGAA
rnacentral:rRNA from 1 species